UACGUGAGGGGCAAGCGUUGUCCGGAAUCAUUGGGCGUAAAGAGCGUGUAGGCGGCCUGGUAAGUCCGCUGUGAAAGUCCAGGGCUCAACCCUGGAAUGCCGGUGGAAACUGUCAGGCUCGAGUCCGGAAGAGGCGAGUGGAAUUCCUGGUGUAGCGGUGAAAUGCGCAGAUAUCAGGAGGAACACCAAUGGCGAAGGCAGCUCGCUGGGACGGUACUGACGCUGAGACGCGAAAGCGUGGGGAGCAAACAGG
rnacentral:rRNA from 1 species